rnacentral:lncRNA from 10 species
AGAACUCCCGGCUCAGAGAGUUCUCCACCGCUCCUCCCAGGCUCACGAGGCUCACGGGCUACCCAGCGCCAGCGGCCCAGGAGGCUGGACCACAGGCCUCAGUCCCGACUUCUCCCUGCUGCCCGGCACGGGACCCUCCCCCAGGACAGCCACCUCCCAGUGCUGAAGAGCCGGCCCGCCUCAGAGCCGCCCGCCGUUCCUUUUUCCUAUGCAUAUACUUCUUUGAGGAUCUGGCCUAAAGAGACUACGAAGCUGCACCGUGUGGGGCCCACUUUUUAUACAAGCGGGUGGCGGUGGAUCCAGGCGCAGACGGGAGUGAGGCGUGGCGGAGACGCGUGCACGCUGGGUCUGUGCACUUUUGCUGCUGCUGCUUUUUUUUUUUUU